UCCCUCAUUCAUAGCGUUAUGAUGGAAAACUGUCAGUUGAUUCUGGAGCAUGCGCCUGUAACACCUUGCUGGGAACCAAUUGAGAUAAUGGAGAAACUUGA